rnacentral:rRNA from 1 species
AUUGAACGCUGGCGGCAUGCCUUACACAUGCAAGUCGAACGGCAGCACGGGAGCAAUCCUGGUGGCGAGUGGCGAACGGGUGAGUAAUAUAUCGGAACGUGCCCAGUCGUGGGGGAUAACGUAGCGAAAGCUACGCUAAUACCGCAUACGAUCUAUGGAUGAAAGCGGGGGAUCGCAAGACCUCGCGCGAUUGGAGCGGGCCGAUAUCAGAUUAGGUAGUUGGUGAGGUAAAGGCUCGCCAAGCCGACGAUCUGUAGCUGGUCUGAGAGGACGACCAGCCACACUGGGACUGAGACACGGCCCAGACUCCUACGGAGGCAGCAGUGGGGAAUUUUUGGACAAUGGGCGCAAGCCUGAUCCAGCAAUGCCGCGUGCAGGAUGAAGCCU